rnacentral:rRNA from 1 species
CCUACGUGAGGCAGCAGUGAGGAAUAUUGGUCAAUGGACGAGAGUCUGAACCAGCCAAGUAGCGUGAAGGAUGACUGCCCUAUGGGUUGUAAACUUCUUUUGUCAAGGGACAAAAUCAGGCUCGAGAGCCUGACCGAGGGUACUUGAAGAAAAAGCAUCGGCUAACUCCGUGGCAGCAGCCGCGGUAAUACGGAGAAUGCGAGCGUUAUCCGGAUUUAUUGGGUUUAAAGGGUGCGUAGGCGGACUGUUAAGUCAGCGGUAAAAGCCCGGGGCUCAACCCCGGCGAGCCGUUGAAACUGGCUGUCUUGAGAUGUCGAGAGGUAUGCGGAAUGCGCAGUGUAGCGGUGAAAUGCUUAGAUAUGGCGCAGAACUCCGAUUGCGAAGGCAGCAUACCGGCGGCGAUCUGACGCUGAGGCACGAAAGCGUGGGUAUCGAACAGGAUUAGAUACCCCGGUAGUC